GACUGGGUCCAAAGGUUUCUGACAUUCAUCUAUAAAAUGCUUCCUCCAAUCUUCAGCCUAGUCCUCCCAACAUUAUUCUAUUCUAUUCUGUUUUUUUAUUUAAGUUGUAUACUGUCCGUCAUAUGAAGAUCACAGGGCAAUUCACAUGAUAAAAACACUCCUCCUCUCCAUUACAGUGUGAAUUCCUCCUCUUUCUUUCUUUCUCUCUCUCCCGCUCUCUCACGCCCGCCUCCCAGGAUUUUAACAGAGAAUUCUACCCAGCACUAUGUCCUGCAUAACCUGGACUAAGCGAGAAAGUGAUGGAAUCAUCUAAAAUGAAGGUAAGACUCUGUUUUAAGAAUUCCUUUAAAACAAAAAACAAAACAAAAACCUCAGAUUUUGACUCUCUGGUUACCUUUCUGAUGCCAUCAGAAGCCGAUUUGCCUAUUGUGUAGAGAACAUCCCUGCUUUCCAACUCGACAAUUCUAUGAUUCAAACAUCUCACCCAAAAUCUUUUUAAAGGUGCCACUUAAAGCAAAGAGUCUUCAUCAGAGGAGAGAAAUGAUUCUCAUCUCUCCCUUUGAUCUUGAGGAUCUGUCAAUUUGUUCCCGUCAAGGUGUUGAAGGUGAUAUGGGUAAGGCAUGCUCUAUUUGCACAGAGCCAUCCUCAGUACCCACCCAAUGGUCAGAAAAUCUGUUUCCACUGGAUGGUGUAGAGAAGCCAUCUCCUGCUGCAAGGAACUACAGUGGUAGCUCAGGUUAAGUACUUAAUUCGUUCCAGAGGUCUGUACUUAACCUGAAACUGUUCUUAACCUGAAGCACCACUUUAGCUAAUGGGGCCUCCUGCUGCUGCUGCUGCGCCGCCGGAGCACGAUUUCUGUUCUCAUCCUGAAGCAAAGUGCUUAACCUGAAGCACUAUUUCUGGGUUAAUAGAGUCUGUAACCUGAAGCAUAUGUAACCUGAAGCGUAUGUAACCCAAGGUACCACUGUAUUAUAUUGCCAACAGAGACACUGGUGGCGCUGUGGUCUAAACCACUGAGCCUUCUGGGCUGCUGAUCAGAAGGUCGGCAGUUCAAAUCCCCGCGACGGGGUGAGCUCCCGUUGCUCUGUCUCAGCUUGCCAACCUAGCAGUUCGAAAGAACACCAGUGCAAGUAAAUAGUUAACGCUGCGGCGGGAAGGUAAACACCAUUUCUAUGCGCUCUGGCUUCCAUCAUGUUAUACCAUUGUGCAAGAAGAGGUUUAGUCAUGCUAGCCACAUGAGCCAGAAAGCUGUCUGCAGACAAACGCCUGCUCCCUCGGCCUGAAAAGUAAGAUGAGUGCCGCAACCCCAUAGUCGCCUUUGACCAGACUUAACCAUCCAGGGGUCCUCUAUCUUUACCUUUUUUACCUAUAUUACCAACACCCAUCCUGGUUUUUGCUAAGUACACAAGAUCCAACUGUGAGAUCCCUAACCCCUGGCAAUAUUCAGAUCAGCUUUCCUUCAUAUCAGAUUCACCAAAUACUUGGUAAAAUCAGAUAGAGUGCAAUUUUGAAAAAUAUUUCAUUCGCAUGCCUGAACCCUGCAUACCUUAACCAUAACGUACCCUCUGAAUCUCAUAGGUACCAGGUUCCACCUUAGUUGGCCAUUCAGAAUCCCUGACUGGUCAUGCACUGAAACAUUUUAUACAAUCCUCUCAAAGAAGACAAAUCUGCACAUGGAUCUUUCUUCAAACUCCAGCUGUGCUGGAAACCAUUGUCCCUCAAUUCUUUGGGGAAGGGCCAUAGUUCCAUGAUAAAGCAUCUGCUUUGAUUCAGAAAGUCCCCCAUUUGCCCUCUGCCAGGUAUAGCUGGAAAAAGACUUCUGCCUGCAACCCUAGAGAGCUACUACCAGUCAGUGUAGCCAAUAUUCAGCUAAGUAUAAUAUUGGCCUAAGUAUAAGGUAGCUUCCUAUGUUUGUCUGUUUAGACCACUCCCCUUCCAUGGGGGGUGGAGUUGUGGGCGGGCAUCCAAGACCUCACUGUGACCUGGCAGGGGACAGAGUGAUGCCGCCCUCAUCAUCGGGACUCCCAGCCGCGUCAUGUCCCCCGCUGACCAAUCGGGUUAGCCGGGGGGGGCAUAGCCUGACAAAGUAGCUUCCUAUGUUUGUUUGUUUACUUCAAUUGACUUUCUACUCUGCUCCCUCUGCUAAUGGUCUUCUCUACUUUCUUCUUUCUCUUAUACAGUGGUACCUCGGGUUAAGUAUUUAAUUCGUUCCGGAGGUCCGUUCUUAACCUGAAACUGUUCUUAACCUGAAGCACCACUUUAGUUAAUGGGGCUUCCUGCUGCCGCUGUAUUUAUUCUUAUCCUGUUCUUAUUUAUUCUUAUUUCUGUUCUUAUCCUGAAGCAAAGUUCUUAACCUGAAGCACUAUUUCUAGGUUAGCGGAGUGUGUAAUCUGAAGCAUAUGUAACCUGAAGCGUACGUAACCCGAGGUAUCACUGUAUGUAGGUCAGCAAUGAAGGGUUUCUUUCAACAUCUCCAACAGAGCAUGUCAAGGGAAGAGAGGCAUGCUCUCUCUUUUCCCUAUUUGGCCACAGGCCUACAACUAUGGAUCUCAAGAAAAAUAAACUCCCUGUUGUUUUGUUCAUGUAGACAUUGAACCUGCAUUGUAGCAGGAAGCUUUGGGAAGUAUGGUGGUGACAUUCUAGAGAGCAGCAGAGAGGCAUAUUCUAGGCAACUGUAAUAGGUUAUCUUUAGGACAUGCAAUGCAUGAGCUGCUGCUGGGCGAUACUGAGACAGAGAGCUUCUUGGGGAAAGUACCAACAUUAGAUGGCGGCUGAGGAUAGAAUAUUGGACCUCCAAGUCAAUGAGCUUCAGUAACAAAGACAACUUCCUCAUAUUUCAUAUUUGAAUGAAAAUUACUCCACAGGUGGCUUCAGUGUUUUAUUUUUCCAUCCUAAUUUGGUCAGAUUCUUGUAUCUUGGCACUUCAGUCUUUUACUGCAGAUAAUUUUCUACUAAAUGAGGUUCUUGAAUCUGAAACAAAUACACCUCACAAAGCAAAUGCAUCUCUUGUCGGUCUGCAUGAUAAAUAUUAAAAUAAGCUUUGUAACGGUUCAUGCAGGGAAUAUUUAUACAAGAAUGCUGCAGAUGUUGUAAAGCAAUGGUAAUUGCCAAAUCAAUCAUUCUUAACCUUUUGUCUCAGACAUUACAUAACGCUUAUGUUAAAGCUUGGCUUAAUUUUUCAGGGUAUAAGUGGUGCUGUAAUCAUAGCUAUAACGUACAGGUUCACUGGAGCCUUCGUUUUAAAUGUACCGUUGUCAGUUUACACAGAAAUCUGACUAUAAGCCAUCUGUUGCUGAAACUGGUCAUUAUCAAUUUUGACAGUCUGUUACUAAGUUCUGCAGAUGCUAACCAGUUGGAACCAUCUGUUUGUGUCAAAAAGUAACAGUUCAUUUUGAAGGAGAGAAAACUGGCAUUAUUGGAGAAUACUUGCAAUGUGCUCUUGACCUCAGCAGAGGUAGAGCAAACCAAGAUAUCAGAGUAACAGUCAUUUGUGAAAUAAGUAUGCUAAAAGAAAUGACUAUUUGCAUCUCACUUCCCUGCAAGGUCAACUUGAAGCUACUGAGUAACAAUAUUCUAGAAAUUGACUUAAUAUUCGUUUUCUAUUUCUGUAGAUUGUGGCCUGCAUUUCUGCACUGGAUAUAAGGGUUCCAAAUUUGCCUUAUGUUCUGAAGUCAGACUUGGUAAUUCUAGCUGAAUUUUUUGCCCUAUACUUCCUCCCUUCACUGUGAUUAGUUCACUCCCUCCCUUCCUCACAUCUCACACACACACACACACACACACACACACACACACACCUUCCACAACCCACUGGUGCAAUAUGAUCUACCACCUUUGGGGAAUCAUUAUUUUAAAGUGUAGCAUGUUGAAGGGGUAAUAUUUUAGUUUGCCAUGAGCUAGCUCAAUUUUAUGGGAACAUAAAUGAAAUAAUGAAUUUAUUUGAUGGAUCUCACAGCAAAUGUCAAAAUUCAACAACUUACCCAGGAAUCUAUCUUCCUAAAGAAUGGGUUCUAGUGCACUAACGGCGCAUGCAGGUAAUGUAUUUAAAAUAAUAAAGCAGAAUGGGGCCUAUUAUCACUGAAGGCUCAUUCUUUUCCUUGAGUCUCUGUCAUGCCAUUAUUUAUUAUUUUCCUAGUUCACGUACAGCUGCUCAAAUUCACAGGAAUAAAAGCCCUGUGCUCAAAGAACUGGUGAGACUGAAAGAUAUUCCCAUGAACGUUCACUGAAAACAGAACAAAGAAAUGAACAUGAUAAUGAUCAAAUUUCAAAUCGGAUACACUGUUCAAACCACAGGAGCUAGAUACACUUCCAUGACAACACUAACAUGACAACAAUAAUAUUUACUGCAUGUAGCUCAUGCAUUCAGGAUUGCUUUCAUAAAUAUCACAGCAACUAGUGAGCAGAUUUUAUCAUCUAGUACUGUGGUAGAGGAUGAGGCUAUUCAGUUUUCCUGUUUAGUCAUGCUCAUGCUCUCCAUUUUGUAUAGUACUGGUAAACUUUUUCAGUUUUUUAAUUAUUAUUUUUAAUGGUACAACAGUGCUUUCAUAGACUACUGUCAUGAUUAUAUAGAUAUUGUAUAGUCUGUUUCCUGCAAAAAUGUAACUAAACUGGAAUAUUUAUUAUUUAAAAAAUAAUAUUCAAGAUUGCAGUUGGAAUAAUAAUAAUAAUAAUAAUAAUAAUAAUAAUAAUAAUUUAUUUAUACCCCAUCCAUCUGGCUGGGUUUCCCCAGUCACUCUGGGUGGCUUCCAACAAAAUAUUAAAAAUACAAUAAAACAUCAGACAUUAAAAACUUCCCUAAACAGGGCUGCCUUCAGAUGUCUUCUAAAAGUUGUUUAUUUCCUUGACAUCUGAUGGGAGGGCAUUCCACAGGGUGGGUGCCACUACCAAGAAGGCCCUCUGCCUGGUUCCCUGUAACUUCACUUUUCGCAGUAAGGGAACCGCCAGAAGGCCCUCAGAGCUGGACCUCAGUGUCCGGGCUGAUGAAGGUGGAAGGUAAGGAAAUGGCCCCGACUAUGAAAUUUGCCACUUGAAGGAACUGCUUCACAGUGCAUCAUGGCAUGGCUGGCCUUGGAGAUAGAACCAUCAUUGCCCAUACACUCUGAAAGCAUCCUUAGAGGUUAUACAAAUAUAUUCCAAUCCCAUCCAAAAGCAAUCCCUGGAAGUUCAAACGGAAUUAGUCUAACACCACUGCUGUUUAACUUUUAUUAUGUGCAAGUACUUAUUGUUAACUUUGAGCUCCACAUUUCUUUGUUCCUGCAAAUAUCGUAAAAAUGAAAAGGAACAGUGUUACAUAAAAGUACAAAUCUGAUCAUAUAAGCAUUAACUCGGGGCAUUUGGUGCACUGAGGAGAGAUCCCAAGUGCUUCCUGGUUUAGUUUUCCAGAAACACAAUUAGGCCUUCCAGGCUGGAACUUAAAAGAUGUAUAAGACCUGUGUGGGGCAAACUAAUCAUUGCUGGCUUCCCUCUCUCAAUCUCUGCUUAGGAGUGGCAGGAGUGCAGUGCAUUGUGCGCUUAUUAAAGUACAAGGCCUUUGAAAAGAUACAGGUCCCUUACCAAAGGCAGCAGCCUGAGAAUUCUAGCCACAAUACUGGCACACAGGAGAGUUCCCCACACCCAGGG